GACAAGAAGCAGACGUACUUCCAAGAGGGAGCUGCAGUGAGGACACAGCCUGGUCACUGAGGUCAGAGGAGGCACUGAAAGGUUUCCCUAAUAGUUCCUGGUGAAUCAAAGCAGAACCAUAAAGGUUGCUGGACUGCAUGAUGGCCUUACCCCUGAGCAGUCAUCCUGUUAAAGGAGGAACCAGUUAGAAGCUGUUUUCAAAGUAGCUGAGCAGAUUUUAUCUCAAUAGAUCAAAGCAGCUCGUGCUCUUUCUGCUUCCAUUUUGAUGGCAAGAAGAAGAAGAAGAAGACUUCAGCGAAGUGGCGUUCAUGGCCUCAGUGAACAGUCAUGGUCACACACUGCAUGUGGUUUUAAAAGCAACAUGUCUGUUCACCACAACAAUGGAGAUGUGUAAUAUUAGUGCAGCUACGGUUUGUUCUUGAACAUCAGUUCUGUUUUCUACUUUGACCACUUAGACCAAAAAAAGUGUUGUUUUCAGAUUCUUUCUUUUUAAAUCUAUAAAGCACCUGUUCAUUUUUUAUUACAAUUAGUUUCACAUAAAUGUUAGUGUUUCCUUUAUGAUCUUUUAAUGCUUACACUACACUGUACACGUCUACAUUAGAGACAUUUCUGUUACCUAUGUAUGAGACUGGGCUGCUUGACUACGAUUUGGAAAUGGAUGCAAAAUCACACGGAUCGUGCUAUUGUUUGUUUUUUAAUAUGAUGGACUGAACACAGGAGGUAUCUGACUAAGCAAAGAUUAGUCUGAUCCCAUUUCUACCUGUCUCUGCUGUUUCAACUGUAACUGUCAGGAUAUAUAUUUAUUCCAGCUCUCAUAGGGCAAAGGAAUGACUCAGACUUGUCAAAUGUUCUUUGAUUUGAUACACAAUAUGAAGUUCACAAUUUUCUUACAAUUAAAACUAUAAUGACAAACAUGAA